UACAGGUUUCUUCAGUGAAUGAAACUCCAUCGAAUGGCAAUGUAGUUUAUCGACAUGUUCGACCAACGAUAAACAAGUAAUCUGAAAGUGAAAGUGUAAAUACUCGAAUGAAAGAACAUCAGAAGCACCAAUGAACCUUCUGACUGAAUUACAAUCACGAUCGAUUGAUUGGAAUGAUGGCUUAAUAAAUUUGAUGCAAGAUUACAUUACAGACUGUCAAUAUGAAAUUUAUUAGCGAUUCAAAUCAACUCUUUAGAUGACUGCACCGUUGAAUAACCGUUUAUGCAAAUACGGUAAUGCCGGACGUAGCUUUUCUAUCACGGUUAUAAGACUCAUGCAGUUUCAUUAAUAAGAUUUCCAAGUUUUUUCAAGUGAUCAAUCAUCGUUCUCUCUAUUUAAAAUAAGAAUUUUCUAUUGAAUGUAGAAAUCUGCUGAGUGAUUAAAUGGCAUUUGAUCAAGAAAACUAAUAUAGACUGAAACUUUCGAUCUUAAUAGAUGAAUUUUCUAAUUGAUAGGACAGUAAAUAUUAAACUGGAAAAACUUGAAUAGUAUGUUCAAGUGUUUGGAACACAGUAAGUUCAAGUACAACUGGUUGUCAGGAGUUAAAUGUAAAAUUAGAUUAAUAUUUGGAAUUUACGAGUUGGAGGAAAAAGUCAAUGAUCAAGAUUGCAUAAUUUAUCAACUUUUCAUUAAUAAAAAAUUUAGAUGUAGAGUACCCUUGAGAUAGGUAAUAAUAAUUUGAAAAUUUAAAGGGGAAGUUACACUUAGCAAUUAGAAC